UGCAACUCAUGUUUGGUUAUUUCUGUACACACAGAUUCUGAAUGCAGAAGAAAAAGUAGAUACAUUAUCAGUACAUGUGCUGCUGUGUGAGCUGAGUGUCUGAGGGGAGUAUUGAGUGUGUGAGGUGAGUAUUGAGUGUGUGAGGUGAGUAUUGAGUGUGUGAAGGGAGUAUUGAGUGUGUGAGGUGAGUAUUGAGUGUGUGAGGGGAGUAUUGAGUGUGUGAGGUGAGCAUUGAGUGUGUGAGGUGAGUAUUGAGUGUGUGAGGUGAGCAUUGAGUCUGUGAGGGGAGCAUUGAGUGUGUGAGCUGAUUGUCUAAGGGGAGUAUUGUGAUGAGUGUGUCGGCUGACUGUGUGAGGUGGGUAUUGAGUUUUACAAAUGAAGGUGCUUUUAAAUGCAGCAUAUCUUGUGGUGUGCAGUUCCUCUCUCUAACACAUCAGCUGAGGACUUUGGGGACUUCCCUGAGGCAGAGAGUUGCCACCAUGUGGCCUACAU
ensembl:lncRNA